GACGAACGCUGGCGGCGUGCCUAAUACAUGCAAGUUGAGCGCUGAAGGUUGGUACUUGUACCAACUUGAUGAGCAGCGAACGGGUGAGUAACGCGUGGGGAAUCUGCCUUUGAGCGGGGGACAACAUUUGGAAACGAAUGCUAAUACCGCAUAAAAACUUUAAACACAAGUUUUAAGUUUGAAAGAUGCAAUUGCAUCACUCAAAGAUGAUCCCGCGUUGUAUUAGCUAGUUGGUGAGGUAAAGGCUCACCAAGGCGAUGAUACAUAGCCGACCUGAGAGGGUGAUCGGCCACAUUGGGACUGAGACACGGCCCAAACGCCUACGGGAGGCAGCAGUAGGGAAUAGGCGGCAAGGGACGAAAGACUGAGCGAGCAAGGCAGCGUGAGUGAAGAAGGUUGUCGGAUCGUAAAACUCUGUUGGUAGAGAAGAACGUUGGUGAGAGUGGAAAGCACAGCAAGUGACGGUAACUACCCAGAAAGGAACGGCUAACUACGUG
rnacentral:rRNA from 1 species